rnacentral:ncRNA from 1 species
CCAACAAAGCUCUUACGGCCAGUGAGACGAUGGGGAUAAGCUUCAUCGUUGAGAGGGAAACAGUCCAGAUCACCAGUUAAGGCCCUUAAAUGAUCGUUCAGUGAUAAAGGAGGUAGGGGUGCAGGGAUAAUCAGGAGAUUUGCCUAGAAGCAGCCACCUUUGAAAGAGUGCGUAAUAGCUCACUGAUCGAGCGCUCUUGCGUCGAAGAUGAAUGGGGCUAAGCGAUCUGCCAAAGCUGUGGGAUGUCAAAAUGAAUCAGUAGG